UCAAACAUCAGUUCUCGUACGAUCACCGAAGUUAAACUACGUCGAGCCUGGUCACUAUGUAGAUGGGUAACCUCUUUUGAAUACCAGGUGUUGCAAG